UACGUAGGGCGCAAGCGUUGUCCGGAAUUAUUGGGCGUAAAGAGCUCGUAGGCGGUUUGUCGCGUCUGCUGUGAAAACUCGGGGCUUAACUCCGGGCCUGCAGUGGGUACGGGCAGACUAGAGUGCGGUAGGGGAGACUGGAAUUCCUGGUGUAGCGGUGAAAUGCGCAGAUAUCAGGAGGAACACCGGUGGCGAAGGCGGGUCUCUGGGCCGUAACUGACGCUGAGACGCGAAAGCGUGGGGAGCGAACAGG
rnacentral:rRNA from 1 species